AAACCUCGGUCCUCGAAUCCCCUGUAGUUUGGCUAAAGUUGCAAAGCGAACUCUUUCUCCAUCCACCGUCAAUUAGGCUCACACAAGUUGAUGUGCGAACCGCAAAUGAGGUUUGUUAAUGACUAACCUUCCCCCACUCUAUUUGAAAGUGAUUGAAACACUCAAAAAGUUAGUAGAAUAAGGUUUUUUCAUAACUUAGGUGUAGUUUAUCCUUGCUCUUUUAUUGAGAUUUUUUAGCUGCUUUAGUUUUUGAAUUUUUUUUAUCUUUAAUGAACUUUUUAAUCGUUUGAUUAAAACUUUUAUACUUUUUUUUGUUUCUCUUGGCAAAAGGAGCCUGUAAACAUAAAAAAAUCAUCUAAUUUAAAAAAAAAAAAUCAUUAAUGAAAAAAAAAUUACUCAAUAAAUUUGCAUUUUAUUUUUGUUUUUUUAAAAAAAAUUUUUAACGAAACUUUACAAUUGAGUCAAUUCACAUCUUUUAAAAAAAUUAAAUCAACUAAAAUAUCAAUUCUCGAACUUUACUAUUUUUUUAUUUCUCUUUUCCCUCACCAAAUUAUUUAUCCAAACAAAGCCCAGCCACGUCGUGGUCGAUGGUCUUCAUCAAUCCUUUUGAAAGAAUUCCAAGUAUAUGCCAAAAGCCAAUGUUAACAAUUUUUAUUUAAAAGAUGUGAAUACUCCGAUCCUCACUCUUUUAAAUAUCUCGUCAAUUUUCAUAAAAAUCCCAAACUUAUCCCCAAAACCUUGUUUCACCUAAUUUGGUAAAAAACUUGUUUCUCCUUCGAUUUGGUGAAACGUUUUUUUGGCUGUCCCUCGAAUUUAUACAGAAUGAUAGGUGGUCUCCUUUAGCCCUUGAAUAAUGAUUUAUCUCCAUCAAUUUUAAAAUGGUGAUCAACUUUUUAAAACAAAUUUAAUCGUUUAUUUUUAUAUAAUAAAAGUAAGGACCAGAGUGAGUUUUCUUUCAUAGAAAACGGUUAAAAGAGAUUUUUCGGACAAGUUAGGAUUUUUUUAAAAUCACCAAAAGAGUAAGGAUUGGAAUGCCAUAUGAUACUAUGAGAAUACCUAAUAUUUUUCCAAAUAAAGUGCAUCUAGCCAUAAUGCUAUUUGUAGGAGCAUGAUUGGUCCUGGCUUACCAAUUUAAAUCAUCACAACUCACAAAAGGAAUGAAUGUUCCCUGCAAUUAUAAAUCUAGAGAGAAGCUUUUCUAUCUCCACCAUUUUGUAAGACCCAUUAACAAGAGAUGCAUAUAAGUAUUUUUGGAUCAUGAAUGCGGACCAAAAUAUAUUAUAAUCUUCAAAAGUACCCAACUUCAGGUUUUGAAAUUCAUGCCGCCAUAAAAUUACAAUAACAAUAUGAGAAUAUAUCGACUAUGAAUCCCAUGUUUAAAAAAGAAAGAAAGAUCUUAAAUUGAACCGAAUUUAUCAACUUACGCCUAAUAUGGGCCCAAACAUAUAUAAAUUCAAGUUAUUUGACAUCACCCAAGGCAUCAAAGGCAUCUCCAGCAUUUUACUUUCAAUUUUCUGUUCACGAACAAAAAACGUUUCAAGGGAUUAUAUAUGCUCUCAAACUGAAAAUGUUUCUGAAUGAAUCCACAUGUAGACUCACCUAACGAAACAUAUGAAUUCAAAGAACGAACUGAGAUUUUCAUUUUGCAUUAUCUAAACAUACAUAGUUCCUAUUACCUAUUUUAAAAAGAAAAAGGAAAGAAAACAACCUUAAUGUAGAGAGUGUAGCUGGGUGCAUUCCUUACCAGCCUUAUCGUCUGGGUUCAAUCCUCAUAUGUACAAAUUGCUAUCAGAAAAAAUGUUUUAUGUAGAAUUAAAAUGCUUUUUAAUAUUUUUCCUCCCAGCCACCCAUUAAUAGGUUCUAACUGAGCGUAAUUUUUAGCAAUAAGAAUCUAAUAUUUACCCUCCCGGCCACCCAUUAAUACGUUCUAAUUGGGCGCAACUUUGAACAAUAAGAAACUAAUGCAUGAGACAACACAAAUAGAUGCAACUGCCUUUAAUCUCGUAGAACUUCUAUCAUCUUCCCAAAUACUAAAAAUGAUGCGCAGUCUAAUACAAAAAAAAGGCAUGAAACAGAACUCAAACAGGCCCUUAUGAUCAAUUGUAAACGCCCUACGUAACGAUCUUUAGCCAUUCAUAUAGAACAUGAAGUAGAUAAAUUCUGUGACCAGAAUAAGUAUCUUGUCAGGCGCAUUAACUCUGGAAUGAUGCAGCCACACCAUGUGCGUGCUGUGCUCCGCAGCACUAAUGUAGGAGUACACAUUCUCGAGCAUAUUAAUUCGGAUAAUAAACUCGCCAGAAUGUCCAGACUCGUUUAAAAUAAUGCAACCCCCACCCUGAAACAAAAAUUAAAAAAUAAAUCAUAAUUUGUCAUCAAAACCCCUCCAAAAAAUAAAGUACUUCCAAUUAAUUUAUUCUUACCUCUGUCGUGAGGACUAUAUCCUCGAAAAAACCAGAAAGGAACCUCACUUGGCCAUUCGUUAUGUGCGCCUGAACUGCAAUACUACACGAUAGUGUUACAGGAGCAUUUUUUGAAACAUAAAAGAAGUAAUAAUCAAUAUUAUUCUAAAGUUUUCAUACUGCUUUGAAGUUUUGUUCUUAGUUUUUGUGGAUGCCAAAAAGAAACAACCUACAAAAACUUACAAAAAUAACCCCAACCCCAACACGUGACAUUAGUAAUAAAUUAAACUCUGACAUUUUAAACUCUUCACUAUUCAAAUCCUCUAUCAGUUAUCAUUUGUAUAUUUUGAUGAAAAGAACUAGUUCCCACAAAAAUGAUUGGCAUUCAGGACAAAUAUUCAAACAGAAUCUAGAAAGAGAGAGACAUAAAUUGGAUGAAGCAAAGAUUCUAAGACCUCAAUAAAUGCUUUAAUGUUUUGAAUUUUGUCAGUUGGUUAUUUCUCCUGUUGCCAUCAAAUUACAUAUAUAGAGACUGACGUGAGGGUUCGAAUUAUUACGAGUUAAAAAUUUCAUGAUUUAAUUUGUUGAAAUUAAAAACACGAAGGUUUAGUUUUUGUAAUUUUCUCAAAAAAAAUAUAUGAAUUCAAGUAAUUCUAGGACUUGAGAUAAAGCUACAUCAAAACAAGCCAAGUGAGCAUCUUAAAUACUGUGUUGCUUCUAGUCAUCACUUGAGUAGUGAUUAGGGAAAAACCUAAUGCAUAAAAUCACAAUAUUGUGAGUAGAAGAUUACCAAAUUGUGUACCCUGUUCAGCAAAGUGCCAGAUAAUGCGCCGAAAAUCCCACGAUGAUAUCCCAACAAUCACCUGAUAACUAAGUACUGAUACGUUGAUGUUCCGGUGAUGAUGAGGAAUGAUACCACCUCUCAAAUUGGUCUCCGCCGUGAACGUUCCUGAAGAUCCAAUGAACUUCACAAUCUUAGUUCUGGUAGAUAAAAUCAAAGGAAUUUAAUAUAUUAUUCAGACAAACACAAUCAAAUAUGAAUUGUGAAACAGAGUAUGGGGGCUCAAGAAUCAUGGAGAGAGAGAGAUUUUUACUAAUCAAUUAAAUCAAACUCCUUCAAGAAGUUAUGUUUCAAGAAUUGUGGAAAGAAUCGAAAGAUUGAACAGAAAUACACACGUAUACUGACCGUGAUGUUCGUAUACGAAAUACAUGUUGGUCGCCAUAUGGUUGGCCGAGGUGAGUGCAGACAUGACAAGGCAUUCGUCAACGGCGGAGGAUGAAAAUAUGCGAUCUAGAUGGUGGAGGUUGAGCCAUGUGCUCGUGGGUUCGCUGCAGGCAUAGCGAUCGAAACACCGAGAUUCGAGCCGAAGUUGCACCGUAACGGAUUCCGUGGACGCUUCCACGGUGAAGGAAUCGAGUCUCCAGACGGCUGCGCCGUGGCUCCCGAUCCGCAACAGCGGCGACAACAGUCUCCUCAGUUGACUGCCUUGGAUUUUCUUGAGAGUUAUCAUGGUGAGACGAGAGAGAAACACAGCAGAGUAGAGAGACGGAGAAGAGAGAGGGGGGAGAGAAAGAGAGCAGAGAGAGGGGGCGGGAAUUGGAGAGAAUUAAGAAUCAUUACUGAGUUUGUUAUGACGGUUAGUUUCUUGAAGGUACACGUGGCAAGAUCAUGACCAUACACAGCCCAUCAUCUCAUAUCAAGAAUUCAGAUAGAACAAAAAGGGUGGCAUAUCUAUUUCAGCUGGGCGUACUGCGGAAAAAAUAGGCAUGCCCAUCUAUACGUUUUUGGUCAUUUUUCUGUUCAAGGGUAAUUUUUAUAAAUCUUCCCUCACAAUACAUAAAAAAUGAAAAAUCUCAAUACGAAAAAAAGGUACAUGAGAAAGAGAAGGUGUAAAAAUAAUUUAACCUAAAGAUAAACAGAAAAUAACCCUAUUGAAAUCUCAAUGCAACACAUAUAUAGAAGUAGCAUUGAUUGAUAAAAUACGAUUCCAUUAAGCUUUUGAGCAAAACAUAAAAAAGAAGUACUCUACCUCUCAGAAUUUGUAUAAAUCACAUUCAUAAAAACCCUAUUAAAAUCACAAAACCAAUCAAGAAAUGAACAGGUCCUCAACAGUCAGACACAAGGUACUUAUUAAUUUCAUCACAAAUGGGAAAUUGAUUUAGAAUCUAUUCCUCUUCGUCUUCCUCCCCUGCUGAUAAUUCUUAAAGCAGAACUCGAUGGUAUCCACUCGUCCGACCGUGAUUUUCAGCAAGUCCGGAUAUUUGCCCCUCACCUUAUACAUCCAUACGCCGGGAGAGUUCUGUGAUGCUUCAAGCAAUGAGUCUGGUUUGUACAGGCUAAUUUGGAUUUUAACCCAACGAUAAUCUUCAUUCAUGUAAGUAAUAUCACAAGUCCCGUUCUAAAAACAAAUACGAAAAACAUACGUUAGUAUCCAAGCCAAAACCUAAAAAUGUACGCACAAUAUAGUACCGUUUAACGGGUGUCUAGGUACUUAUUAGUAUCCGAGUUAAACUAGUUGAUUAGAACUUUUGCAUCAUGCUUCAGCAUGAUAUAGGAGAGUACGAAAUGUGCACAGUGAUACAGACGUUUGUUGUGAGAACAAUUUGAUCACAAGGACCAAUUAAGCAAUUGAAAAGCAGCUAAAUUAAUCUCCGCAUAACUUGCGCUCUUCAAAACACGAAAUAAGUUGUCCUCUCUCUCAAGCCGGCAAAUACUGCAGAAUUGACAGCAAAGGGUAUUACCAUAAGAAGCCAUGAUGUUCAUGAUGUACCCCCAAAAUCCGCUGAAACACUUGGGAUGGUAUCCAAACAGCCGCGUCACAGUGUUCUAAUUCAUUAGGAACAGCAGGACUUGAUAGGAAUAGUGUAUAUAUGUCCCGAAAAGUUCCUGAAAAUGGAAUCCACUCUCAAUCAUAGAACUUAAUCUUGCAACAAUGAGUCUCUAGAGAUGAAAAAUAAAUAAAUAACACGGAGAAACAAUAAAGUCGAGGAUCCCUGUCAUCUCCUAUGGGUUUCUUUGGACUUCAAAGUUUUUCAUGACAGAUCGAUAUGAUCAAGAAAACUAUCAAUAACCGAAGACCUUUGGUAGAAUUAUAUGAAUGGAGUAAUAAAAGGUCCUACACAGAUUUUCAAGAGAACCAUCCAAAUUUAACUUGCAUAAACAGAAGGUUUGUACUUAACGGAUUUUCAUGAAUCAACUAAAACCAACAUAAGGUUAAAUUACAAAAAUUGUCUUGGUAGUUUUACUCGUCCUCAAAUACCACGAUUUGAACUCUUUAGUUUGAUUUUCUCACCAAAUCAGCCCAAUUUGUAAUUGAGGUUGUCUUUUUGGAUAGAUUUUCAUACGUGAUCAGUAUGUGACCUCAUUUGUUGACAAUUUAUAGUGAGAUUGGGUAAAUUAUAACGGGAUUUAAGCAACUUACGGUGGGAAUUGGGUGAAAAUAGGAAAAAAAAUGUCAAUUUUGUCCCUCAGAUGAUGGUACAUGUCACUUAAGUAUGAAAAUGUGUCCGAAAACAUAAUAUACAUUAUCAAUUGGAUUGCUUUAGCGAGAACAUCAAAAUACAUAUUUAAAACAGCAAAAUUUGAAAAUACAGUGACCAAAAUCAAAACAUGGUAAAACUAAAGGGACCAUUUUUGUAAUUUACCCCAACAUAAUAUCUAAACGCAAAGAUAUGCAUACACAUGUAUGUAUGUGCAUCAAUACAUGUUCCUUAAACAAGAAAUUGGAUCAGAGUACAUUACCAACAUGACCCAUUUCGAUAGGUUAUCUUCAAAGUGGAAACAGAGAAUUUUUUGCCUUUGUUUUUCUUUUCUUGAAUGCCAAAUAGUACUGUUAUCUACCCGAAGCUCUUGGUCACGGUCCAAGAUUUCAAUGCCUUGUUGUUAGCCAUCUCUAAGCUUUCAGUGCAACGUGUGCUAGCAAGUGAUUGGGUACAUACAUGAUGGUAGAACUGAAUAUUUUCGGGACAUUUUGAUGGUUCUUGUGCAUAGUUGGUUGUUCACUUCUAGAAGUGCAGAUCAAAUUUUAAGUUGGUGCUUUGGUGUACUUUUGUAGACUUGCAAUUAAAACUUUCCGACGUAUAAAAGUUAUCAUGGGGGGUGAUGGAUGCCAUACGGGCCUCAGACCUUGUGCUUCUCUUAUUUUUUGCAAUUGCCUUUUUUGACUAAACUAAGAACACAUUACUUGCACAUUUUGCUACUUGACAUAGAUCUUAUAGCAAAUUCCUGGGGUUGUACGUCAUGAAUUUUGGUUCCGACUUGGUUGCAUUGCAUGCACAAACUUGCUUAUGCUGUUUGCAACAACUCAUCUAUUUAAGAACACAUUACUUGCACAUUUUGCUACUUGACAUAGAUCUUAUAAUAAAUUCCUGAAUUUUGGUUCCGACUUGGUUGCAUUGCAUGCACAAACUUGCUUAUGCUGUUUGCAAUAACUCAUAUAUAUGACUGUUUUUUUUGCCAAGUAAAUUAUAUAUUUACCUUGUUCACCCAUUAAAAAAACCACCAAACAUGUUUGGGUGGCAUUCAGAAUUCUUCUGUGCUGAGAAUCAUCCUCCAAGUUCCAGAUGUGUGAUUAAUUGCUUUGGUGGAAAUAAUUUUCUACAGAAAUACUGCAAUUAUGAAGUAUUUUUUCAAAAUGGUACUUCCGAAUCUGAUUUCUUCAAUGCAAAUCUCAAUUUUCUUUUCUUUUCCUGUUUCCCUUGCAGGCAAGGAUAUUAGCCCUGAAUGCGUCAUAUUUCCUGAAAGCUGGAGGUCAUUUUGUUAUAUCCAUCAAGGUUUGUCCUUUACACACUAUGGCUUUCUGUAGACGAUAUCUCACUAACAAAAUACUUAGAAAAUGAGAAAAACAGAGAUAAAGCAUGUGUUAGCGAUAAACUUGUGUAUGAUUAUAUGAUUUGUAUCCAAUAUGUUUCAGGCCAAUUGUAUCGAUUCAACUAUUCCUGCUGAGGCAGUGUUUGCCCAGGAAGUGAAGAAGCUGCAGGCAGAGCAGUUCAAGCCCAUUGAGCAAGUCACUCAGCCUUUUGAAUAGGACCAUGCUUGCGUCGUCCGUGCAUACCGUGUGCCUAAGAAACAGAAAGCUGUAGCUGCUGCGGCCUCCUGAAUACUGUAACGUUUUUUCGUCCCAAGAGCAUGGACUAAGCUGACAGAAUUUAUAAAAGCGACGUA
rnacentral:lncRNA from 1 species